AACGAACGCUGGCGGCAGGUUUAACACAUGCAAGUCGAGCGCCCCGCAAGGGGAGCGGCAGACGGGUGAGUAACGCGUGGAAAUCUACCCAUCUCUACGGAAUAACGCAUGGAAACGUGUGCUAAUACCGUAUACGUCAUUCGGGAGAAAGAUUUAUCGGAGAGGGAUGAGCCCGGGUUGGAUUAGCUAGUUGGUGGGGUAAAGGCCUACCAAGGUGACGAUCCAUAGCCGGUCUGAGAGGAUGAUCAGCCACACUGGGACUGAGACACGGCCCAGACUCCUACGGGAGGCAGCAGUGGGGAAUAUUGGACAAUGGGCGCAAGCCUGAUCCAGCCAUGCCGCGUGAGUGAUGAAGGCCCUAGGGUUGUAAAGCUCUUUCACCGGUGAGGAUAAUGACGGUAACCGGAGAAGAAGCCCCGGCUAACUUCGUGCCAGCCGCCGCGGUAAAAC
rnacentral:rRNA from 1 species